CGCCGGGCUCAGAGGACCGACGGGCCAGGGUGCAGGAGCGCAGGUUCCUCGCGAACCGCCGGCGGGGAUCUCCUCUGGCGGGCGGGCCCCUUCGCCCUCCCCGGCGAGGACGGCUGACUUUUCACAGGAAGCCAGACCUCAGCCCUUGAUGCAAUUCAGUCAUGUGUGUUCGGCAACAACGUGAGACUCUUAAGGCACCAAGGCACGCGUGAGCAGCCCAAGAAAGGGGCAACCACCUCUACUGGAGAACAGCUCCCACAGCCACCCACCACCAAAGCUUCGGUCCCACCUCUUCCUGCUUUCCUGGGUGGGGGACGGGGAGAAAGGCUGCCCUGGGGUGGAAGCGUUGGGCCUGGCCCUGCCCCAGAGCCCCAGGUGGACGAGCCAGGGGCCUGGAGCCUCCGGAGCAGCCUGAGGCAUGGUGUUCCGUGCCCCCAAGCCCCAGCCGUUCAAGGAUCAACUGUAAUUUGUUGUUACUGUUAUCACGUCAUGUUUAACACUAA